CCUGAUAGGGAAUAGCACCAAGCCCUGUGUCACCUAAAAGAUGGCUCCCCCCUAUGGGAGCAUACCUCCUCUGUGUCACCCUAUAGGACACCCCUGUGUCACCCUAAAGAUGGGGUCACCCUAUGGGACACCUCUGUGUCACCCUAUGGGACACCUCUGUCACCCUAAAGAUGGAGUCACCCUAUAUCCCCUGUGUCACCCUAUGGGACACCCCAGGUCACCCUAAAGCUGGGGUCACCCUAUGGGACACCUCUGUGUCACCCUAUGGGACACCCCUGUGUCACCCUAAAGAUGGGGUCACCCUAUGGGACACCUCUGUGUCACCCUAUGGGACACCCCAGGUCACCCUAAAGAUGGGGUCACCCUAUGGGACACCCCUGUGUCACCCUAAAGAUGGGGUCACCCUAUGGGACACCCCUGUGUCACCCUAUGGGACACCCCUGUGUCACCCUAAAGAUGGGGUCACCCUAAAUCCCCUCUAUGUCACCCUAUGGGACACCCCUGUGUCACCCUAUGGGACACCCCUGUGUCACCCUAAAGAUGGGUCACCCUAAAUCCCCAGUGUCACCCUAUGGGACACCCCUGGUCACCCUAAAGAUGGGGUCACCCUAAGAUCCCCUCUGUGUCACCCCAAAGGCCUCCAUGUUGUCACCCCAAAGGACCCCACUGUAUCAUCCCGACCCUUUAGUCACCCCAAUGGACUCCUAAGUCACCCCAAGAUCCCCUUUAUGUCACCCCAAAGCCUCCAUUGUGUCACCCUGAGGCCUCCAUUGUGUCACCCCAAGGUCCCCUCUGUGUCACCCCAAGGCUUCACUUGUGUCACCCCAUAGGCCUCCAUGUUGUCACCCCAAUGUCUCCUGUGUGUCACCCCAUAGGCCUCCAUGUUGUCACCCCAAUGUCUCCUGUGUGUCCAACCCCAUAGGCCUCCAUGUUGUCACCCCAAUGUCUCUGUGUCACCAUGGGCCUCCAUGUUGUCACCGCCAAUGGUCUCACUCUGUGUCACCCCCCAGGGCCCUCCAAUGUUGUCACCCCGAGCUUUAAGUCCCCCCUUUGCACUCCAAUGUCCCCCCAAAUGUCCCUUCUAUUAGUCACCCAUGGCCUCCAUGUUGUUCACCCGAACCCAACCUUUGUCAACCCAAUGCC
rnacentral:lncRNA from 1 species